AUUUAUAAUGUUCUUCGGCUCUCUUCGGAUAGUUCUCGGAGUUAAUCGCGAUUGGGUGUUAUUUUUGUCCAGCACUUUAUCGCGAUUAACUCCGAGAACUAUCCGAAGAGAGCCGAAGAACAUUAUAAAUA